rnacentral:rRNA from 1 species
ACAUCCAGCGAACUUGGCAGAGAUGCCUUGGUGCCUUCGGGAACGCUGAGACAGGUGCUGCAUGGCUGUCGUCAGCUCGUGUUGUGAAAUGUUGGGUUAAGUCCCGNAACGAGCGCAACCCUUAUCCUUUGUUGCCAGCGAUUCGGUCGGGAAACUCAAAGGAGACUGCCGGUGAUAAACCGGAGGAAGGUGGGGAUGACGUCAAGUCAUCAUGGCCCUUACGAGUAGGGCUACACACGUGCUACAAUGGCGCAUACAAAGAGAAGCGACCUCGCGAGAGCAAGCGGACCUCAUAAAGUGCGUCGUAGUCCGGAUCGGAGUCUGCAACUCGACUCCGUGAAGUCGGAAUCGCUAGUAAUCGUGGAUCAGAAUGCCACGGUGAAUACGUUCCCGGGCCUUGUACACACCGCCCGUCACACCAUGGGAGUGGGUUGCAAAAGAAGUAGGUAGCUUAACCUCCGGGAGGGCGCUUACCACUUUGUGAUUCAUGACUGGGGUGAAGUCGUAACAAGGUAGGCGUAGUGCU